GAGACAAAGCCAAUUAUACUUGGAACCAAAAUAAGAGUUGGUUCUUAUAAUGGAUUAUCUCUAUCAUCACGUCCGAAAAGUAAAUUUAUGAUCAAUCCUGUUAUUCCUGAGGCAACUUCAUUGCAAGAGUGGGCAGCGAUUAAUGAUUUAUUACUCAAGAGUAUUAUUGCAAAAAACUUGACACACCCAUCUGCAUCUCUAUCUUCUGUUGGCAUUCGGGAAAUAAUCAAGAAUUGUGAUGUUGCUGAAUUCAUCAAAAGUUUGCAACCCAUGGCG